GCUGAGAUUAGUGACGGCUUGGUUAUGAACAAUGGAGGCAUUAUGUAGCUUCAUCGAUUUAGUGGAUUCCAGAGGUCCUGAUAGUUUCCGGGGGGCGCCAGAUGAAUUAAGCGGCCCAGAGGAAAUUGGGCCAGAAGUGAUGAGACCUGUAGUGGGAAGCAGAGGGCCAGAAUUUUGGCGAGCCAUUUGGGUGACACCUCCAGAUUGAGGCCCAGAUGACUUCUUAACUGAAUCUCCAUGUUUAAGUGGCCCAGAGUUGGAUUUCUGUCUACCGGAACCGCCAGUGACUAGUGAAGAACCAGAACCUGGAGCUGCAUAAGAAAGAGAACCAGGAUAGCUAGACUGACCAGAGGCAUUAGGCAUAAUGGGCCCCGAGUUGGAAGCAGCACCACCAAACGAUCGAUUUCGUGAAGGGACAUUAGCAAGGGGACCAGAUUUUCUAGACUUUUCCACAUGAAGUUCAAACAUCUUCCCAAUUUCUCCAGACUUUUUAAUAUCUCCACCUGUAUAUGGCAUGGCUGUGGAGCAAAUUGUAGGAGAUUUCUCCUUGGGUUGCUCAGGUCGGCCUGACACAUAGAGGCCAUUGCUGAGCUGGUGUGAUGGGAAUCUGGAACCCAUCAGGCUUCAAAUGACAAUAGAUCUCGGAAGGCAGAUGGCAGAUGGUUAGUGUAGUCCACAGGGAUCAGCACUGAGAUUUAAUAUUUGAAUCAUCAUGAGGCUCAAAUUGCAAGUUAAGCACAAAUCCACAACUUAAUCUUCAAGCACUCUGUUAAAGCACCAAGAAACCAUGUCAGAGAUGAAGAAAGCAUGUCCAGGCACACUCUGACAUUAAUACUAAUAAACCAACAUGCUAAUAUGUUCAGGUUUCUUACAUCAGUGGUGAAGAAUACAUGCAAUGCAAUUAGCCCAUUAGGACAUUAUGAAGUGAUUAGAAUUUGAAAAGAACAAGCAACUUUUGUAAACAAAGCAAGGCAUCUCCAAGCCAGAAGAGAAUUUCAACAUUAAAUACGAAUUAGGAAAAUGACAGCAGAGGAUGAUAAGUGAUAACCUAUUCGAGCAAGAAAAUUGGGUUAUAUCCAAAAAUUAGCAUUAAUUCCAUUUUUAGCAUUGCAUCUAAAGACAAGCCGUUGCAUGUGAAUCAUAAGCAUAGGCAGGGAAUUUUUCAGAAAGGAGAACAAUUACAAAGCACAAUGGAUGGAGAUGACAUUAAAUUUUUUCAGAAAGUCCUUGUGCAUCCUUCUCGUCUUCCAAUAGAAACUGUAUCUAAGCCACGUACUUGCACAGUAAUAUCUUUCAUACUCUGAAUGUCGUCCACUUCAAAAAUUUCUUUCCAUGUGAAGUUAAUGGGAAAAGAAUCCGCGGCCUAAUAGCCUCGUUUUACCAUAACUCCCUAGCCAGAGUUGAUCUCUUUAUUUCAGUAAUAUAUCACCUUCGAGUAGAAAAAGGCAUCUCAAUAGAUUGAUUGCCUUUGAUUCAGUUUUCAAUCUUUCACGCUGGUUUAACCAUCCUUUUAUAGCUACCUAUGGGUCAUCAUUACAGAUCUUCAAAUUUAUGAGUUCACAUUGAAACCAACAUCUGCAGAAGAGAGUCAAGAAACAAUUGAGGGUGGCCAGAUAAGUUCUACUGAGCUUCCUAUAUUGAAUUGCAAACCCAAACUAUGAUUUUCUUGAAGUCAGGAUGGAAUAUUUUUAAUCAUGACAACAUUUUUUGCAUCCAGAAUACAAAUGGAAGAUUCAGGUUCCACAUCCAGAAUUGCAAACCCAAACUAUGAUUUUUUUGCAUCCAGAAUACAAAUGCAGCGCUAAAAGUUCCACACAUCCAUUUAGUCAAUCCCAUGAUGUUAAAUUGCUCGGGUGGUAAUAGUAGGAGACUGCUUAUAAGGCUUAAGUGGAAGACCUAAAAUUAAUAGUCAGACACCUAGAAAAGUUACCUUGAAAAUGAUAUAGAUUAUAUGUGCAUAUAAAAAUUAGGUGCAAACUUUUUCAAUACGCAUAUUUUUUUAUAAAACACAUCACAUGCGGUCUUCUUAGAAUCACUUUCUGAAGGUCAGGUAUGUUCUGAUCAUCCAUUAUCUCAUAACAGCCAUUCAUGUUGGAAGAUACUUCUUAAAAUACAAAGACAACAUAUAUAGGUAGAUGCAAGAUACAAGCAUAUUCAAAUAAUUGAAUUUUAGCAUCAGGCAUCAUGGCUAAAAAACAGGAAUAAUAAAAAGGAUUUACCAAAUACAUGUGUUCAUUGCACUAAUAUAGGACUAUCUUUUUCACUUAAAACAUGUUCAAAGAACAACCCAUGCCGCUUUACUUAAAACGAUAAGUAUUCUUGUGUUUUUACCCUUUUUGAACUAAAUCCUAUUGCCUAUUACUAGUCAUUAUUUAUGGCCACUUACAUACUAUUAGGUGCUCCGUCAAUUACUUGGCUAGAAACCGAAAAGCAGUGAAGCUGAGUGGAUGUCAAAAGAAAAGGUACAAAGAGUAACACUCGAUGCUUGCUCUAAAAUAAACUAUUAAGCCUUGCGAGGAUUCAGAUUCUUGACGAACCCAUAGUUACCAUUGCCUAUGAACCAAAUGCAGGAUCAAUUAGAAAAAUGAACACAUCUAGAAUCGACCUAAGUCACUAAAAAUUGGGAAAAACAUGUACAAAAAAAGUAGCAUCUUUUCAGCACAAGUCUCCAAAAUCAUAACUAGAUCGAUCACAGCGAAAAUCCAAGAUUCGAGCCUUUGCACCAUUUCCAAGAAUCAAGCUUUUGACAGAUCGCAGUUAUCAUGUGCAUCAAUAAUUUCUUCCCAUUCCAAACCCCCCUCGAAAUUGACCUCACGAGGCAACUAGAACUCAUAACACCUCAAUCAGCACCUACCAAUGAGACAAAACAAACACUUUUACAGGGGUAAUGAACUUAAACGAAAAAAAAACCCUGCUUGCUUGAUUCCCCUCUCUCCGCCUCCGAAGAACUCACACUCGGAUCCAAGUCUCGGAAGUCGCAAAGAAAGCAAACCAACAGUCUAGAUCCAAAACUAGAGGGAGGAAUCAAAACCCGCACUCCCCAUACUAAUUAGAACCUAACAAGCAAUACCCAAUUACAAGCGGGGACUCGAGAUGCUGCUGUCAACGCCCCCAACAAACCACUCAAAAGGAAACCAAACAAGAGAGAGAAAGCUCCCCUACCUCGACGAAUUUCCGCGCGCGUUGGAUGAACUUAAGAGCCUUCGGGCGGAUCAUAAGCAGGCGGAAAAUGGAGCUAAACUGCUACAAAAUCGCCGCAGAGAGAUGUGGACUGACCCAAACAGAACCUCGACACAGAGAGAGACAGAGAGAGAGAGAGAGCGACGCAGAGCAAGAAAUAACAGUGGGGAGAGAGAGAGAGGAGUACAGCUUCCAGCUUCACUGUCUCACCUGGGUAUUGGGCUGUAACUUUCUAAUGGAUACUCUUUUCAUGAAAUGACCAUAAUAGCCUUAGGGUUUCCCAUCACACUCCUCUUCCUAAUGCUUUUCUAAGAAAAAAAAAAUUAUUAUUAUUUUUUUAUGCCAUUUGCUUUAUGAAAAUAACUGAAAAUUGAUAAGAACAUUUUAAGCCAUUCUUGAAAAAAACAAUUUUGUAAUUCCACAACUAAGGAUGUGUGUACUUCCAAACAAAUACCAUUUAAUAAUACUAAGUAAGUGUCACCACUUUGUCUUUGUUUAAUCUCAAACCAUUUUAGUCAUUUGGUCCUCAGAACUAUUAUUUUAUAUCAUGGAGAGCGUGCAUCUCUGUCGGCUGUCCACAAAUUGCAAUUUAUAUGUAUCACUGUCAUUUAUUUUCCUUUAUGUUUUUUUUUUCUUUUUCCCUAAUGUAUCUUUGGUUAAAUUGUUAUUUUUAUUAAUAUUUCCUUGUCUUUUCCUAUAUAGUAUAUAAUAAUAAUAAUUUGAUGGUUUUCAUUAUAUACAAAGAGAGGAAGGAAAGUAUAAUUUUGUCCUUACGUUAUCUCAUCCAUAUAAACUUCAAACUGAAACUUAGGCUUAUUCUGUCACAUCGAGUUCCGAUCCGACCACAAAUACAAGUCUCGUGUUAGGUGGCCGCAUUCAGCUGCGGCGGACAGAGUUGAUGGUGUUGGGUGGCGUUGCCAUGAGAGCAAUCACCACCUCCUUGCAUGAGGACUUCUUUUUGGAAUCAUUGUGCGCGGUUGGGGAUUAGAAAAGACUAAGGAGGUCAAUCCAGCUAAGUAUCUUUAAUCUUUGUCGAUCCAGCUAGCUAAGGAGAUUAAAUAUAAUGGGGUUAGAAGGAGGAGCUACCGAUGUGGCUUUCAAGGAAGGAAGGAAGCAGCGAGCAUGGUCCUGUAAAGCAAAGCAGCAUGAUGUGAGUCACAUUAUUUUGUGCCAAUGGCUGCAGCUACUCCCAGCAGUUUGUACUGGCAGCAGUGUCGUCAUCACAUGGCCUCCUCAUGGUUUUGGUGAUACCAUCACCUGGUUUGCCAUCUGCAGGUUGCCCCCACCGAGAGACAAGCAGAACUGUGCUGCUCUGGUCUGCAACCAGAGCUCACAGUUUUGGGGGAGGGAUCAGUUCAUGUGGCAUAUGAGGGGUCGUGAUGGCUUCGCUGACAGCAGGUGGAUAAAAAUCUUUUGAAGCUGAGGCUUACCCACCAUGAGCUACAGUAUUUGCCACCAUCACUCGGGGGUUCAACUCAUCAAUGCAUGCAUUGCACCGGUUUCUCUGCCACCUUGAUGCAUGAUUGGACUGCAAAACAAUUUGAGAAACACAACAUCAGCAAAAUCAAAGUCGGGAUACAGAUUAAGGCAAAGGGGAAAAAAUGGUAUGUGGAUUCUGUUGUGGUAGAUGAGGAAAUAUAAGUUUCAGAGUCGAUCAACCAGCUGGGGAGAACUGAUGCAGGGGAGAAAUGGAUUAGGUAGAACCUUGUGGUCAACGAAAUUAUAAAUUUCAAGAGAGACAAGUUUGAUCUGUCGUUGCUCUCACAAAAAACAUUACUUGCUCCAUCUAGUCAAACAUCCUGUCAAACAACCAUUCACAAAAUGAUAUUUAAUAAUUUGAUCUCAAGAUUCUUCCUUUAGAAAAAGGAAGGAAGAAAGAGAGGGAACAAGCAUGUCUGCUAUUGACAGAAGGGGAGGGGGAGGAGGUAUCAGUCUAAGUUUAGACUGGGCCAAGGAUGUCUGCAUUCACAAAGUGUAAGCUUUGGGUAGAAUCAAGUUUAUUUAUAUACAAAAAGACUGUGUCAUCUUGUAUAUACAUAUACAAGAUUAUGAAGUUUCUUUUUUACUAAGAAUAUUAUUUUGUACUAAUAUCAGUGACAAAAAAAAAAAGAUACGCAGAGUGAAGUUCAAAUAGUUGAGAUAUUAAAGUUUGUUGUUGAACAACCUGCAUCUCAUAAAUUUCCAAGAUUGUUAAUAAUAAUGAAGUUUUUCUUUUACUAAGAAUAUUACUUUAAACUAAUAUCAAUUAUGAAAAAAAGAUUCAUAUAGUGAACUCCAAAAUCCAAAUAGUUGAGACAUUAUGGUUUGUUGUUGCGUUGCAUACAUAACAAGUGUUUUCCCAUUAUCAGCAGGCUUUCCUUGAAAUUAAUCUUGAAUCAGUUGAUGAAAAGCUAUAAUUGGAUGGUGCACAUUAAUUUCUUGGUACCAACAGAUGCAAAAUGCAAGUGAAUACAAUGCCUUUAAACGCAAAAGCUAAGAGAACUUGGUUGUUUCUUUCAUCUUGUAAGAGAGAGGAAGACCAUUAAUUAACCGAUAUGCUAACAUAGUUUUAUGAGGUCUCUGACAUGUUUGCUUAAGAUAGACUUUGUAAAGAUUGUGUUUCAACUGACCUGAUGUUUGCAAGUUUGGGUUCCAGAAAUGUUCAGAGGACAUUCUACCAUCUUGGUGGUGAUGUAUGCCUUGCUCUGGAAUUCCUUGUAUUGUGUUUGAGUCUGCAAAGAUGUCAAUAUACAACACAGAAAUAGUACUAAGCAAUAAGCAUCCAUUGCAAUUUGAUUAGUUUAGUUCCAAAUAAUUAAAUCAAACUCAUCCAGCAAUCCCACCAAAAAAAAAUAGUAAACACCUAGAGCUAGCAGAAGACAAGAAAUAUUAACUGAAACAGGAAAGACAGGAUAAAAAAACAAGAAACAAUAGUUGGCUGCAAGAAACAGGCUAUGGUUUGCAAAAUAAAUCUGGAACAUUUUUUUCUCCUUUUGAAUCUUCAUCUAACAUACCACAGGCAAAAUGACUGCAUGGAGACUCAGCUGACCCCUCUUUGUAACCAGAGCAUAUCUUGUUCACUAAGCAGAUUGUUUUAGGUGAGGGGAAAAAAUAAGAAAAAUUCUUUUUUGCUCUAAGCUUUCAACUUGAUGAGACAUCCUUCUCAUCAUGUUUAUUGUCCUUAAUCAAGGGAGUCUUGCAGAUAUGUCAUGCCAGAUUUCAAUGCAACUAAAGCGUUAUGUUGAUCAUAGUUGUCCUUGACGUAGUUUACUGCUUUUCAUGUUUUAACAUAAAUCAAAUGGAUUGUAAGAUUAUUUGAAACUACUGAAAAUGUGCAUUCCCUCUCUCUGCUUCCAGGGCAAUAUUACAGAUAUUGACUCUCUCCAAGUCCUACAUCAGGAAAAGUACGACGUUGCUCGAUCUCAUCUUGCCUUCUCAUUUGCACAAAGAUUCGCCCAUAAGUCGGAGACAAGCAGAGAAUAUAUUCCUAGACCACUCUUCUUGGAAGCCAUGUCCUUACCUCAUAAGCAUUUUAUAUUGUUCUUGUGAUCUGUUUUCUUUUCCUCUAGUAAAAUAACUUCCAUAUUCCAAAAAACACUUCAGGGAGAUCCCGUGGUUAGAUAUCUGAAACCAAUUUCUAAGAUUUUAGAAAUUCCUAAGAAACUAAUCAGAAGAUGCAUGACUGAGAAACCAUUCACCAGCUUCUCCAUAACUCAAAAAACAAAGUUAGUUGCAAAUUUCUUUGAGCAGGUGAAAGAUCUAUAAAAUGAAAGUUGCAAAGAAAAGCAAACAUAAUUUGUCCUUGGUACAAAGGAAACAUAAACAUCGUUCAUUGUGUUUCUGAAUUUAGAUCAAUUGACAUGCAUAUUUCUGGUGGAGCAUGAAUUCAUUCACAAAAUCGUAUUAUUAAAGUAUCAAAAUCUCCACAACUCUUGUUCUUCACCACCAGUCCUCAGCAGGUUGGUCGCAGAACAACCAAUCAAUGUAGCACUCUUUUUUUAUGUUUACUGAACUGCACAUAAUGGAUGUUUGGACCUCUUCUGAUGAAGACGAAACACUAACAUGUAAUAUACAAACUCUAAUGAGCCACGGGACAAAUUUCUCAGCUAUCCUCGUCUCAGAAAGACAAAGAGUGAACCUCUUGAUCCUAAUCCAAGCCUUAUUUUCUCAUCAAUAUAUGUUAUUUGAAGCUUGACCUCGCUUUCACCACCGUACUGGAAGCCCAGUGAUCCUACCUUCAGUUGAGGGGGUUCAAAUAUGACUUGAAUCCAUUUACCAUCUAAUACCUUCAGCUUACCUGGAAAACCAUAAGGACUCCAUAUUAUCUAGUGAAUAGCACAAAUUCUUCACAAUAUCCAAUUUGCAUAUAUUUAUCAUAAAAAUGUAAUCUUGGUUGUAUUCCAGCAAAGUAGAGAGAAGUUUGAAUCAUCACAAUAAGCAAGGUGAAAACAGAACAAAGUGGAAGACGGAGAUAUCAGUGCACAAUUACCUUUCAAGGACACUUCUCCAUCGAGGAAACCAAAAGCAGAGAAGGAUACUUUAUUCCUCACGAUAUCAGGGGCUUCCACGACCUGCACCAUUUCAUUUGUCUUGAAGACAAGUCGUCCAAUUGCGCUCCUGUAACCUCCUCCAGGUGAUGUCGGCACCGAGCAAUAGACCACAUCCCAAUCUGAGUUAUAUGACAAGACAUGAGCUUGCUAAACCAAUGACCGCAAAGUUCAGGCGAGAACAUGAUGAUUUCAUCACUGCCAAUUUUUUCUAACUGAUGGUGUGUAAAGGAAAGCUGCCACAAAUCUUACACGACAAACUGGAGUUUCUAAUAGCUUACAGGCAAGUCUCAGCAUCUGAAAUCCACGAAGGAGAACGAUGUUUCAAGAGUCAAUUAAGAGUCCUUAUCUUGGAUUUGAUGCAUGAUGGUUUGCUGAGAACUUUAGAUAUGUAACAGCUGGCUUAAUUGGAUCUUGGUCUUUACCUCCAAAUAUGAGAGGGCACUUAACAGGCUCAUCGACGCAGUAUCCUGCAAGCUGACUUGCCACACUGGCCACCUCUUUGUGCUCGUCCUUCGUAAGCGAAACUCCCCGAUCAGUUCCCUUCACCUACAGCAAGAUGUGAUUUUUUUUUUGCUACACACAACGAUUGAUCUGGAAAUCGUACCUUAAAAUGCAGAUAAUAAUCAUCAAACCUAACAGGGGAAAUUUCAAUCCAACUCCAAGCUCCCAACCAAAAUGUUGUGGAGCUGAUGCAUAUUCGAUACUCUUCUUUCCUCCUAGAUCUUCAUUUCUUGCGCAAAAGGAAAAAUAUCUGAGAUCGAGAAAGAGGACCGAACCUUGGAGAGGAUGGAAGCGACGAGAUCGUCCGGGGCCGCCACGAAGGGCUGCGCCGAGACAGAGGCGCGGACGAUUGGGAUCUUGCAGCGGUGCGUUUGCGGAAAGACGACGCGCUGAUUGGAGAGCGCAGGACGGGAGACGAGGGUCGCGGGGGGGAAGAGAGCGACCGACGAAGCCAUUGUCGUGCCCGCGUUAGCUCCUCGUCCGCCUUUGUGUCUCCUUAUAUAUCUAUUUUUUCUUCGUUUUGUGAUUGGCUAUAUUUAGAUUUUGGAUAGGGGGCGUGGGGCCAGGAGCUGGGAACAUGAGCCAUGUGGCGAGAUCUGUGGCCCCGAUUGGACCAUGUAAUAUUUGAUUAGUGGCCAUUGGAUUGUAGGAUGGACUGGCCUUGAACGUACCACGGCGUCGCUUAAGAUUCGACUUAGGUUGCGACCUUGUAUCUUGGAUUUACAAGGCAGGAGCCGGAGGAGGGCGAGGCGAAGGGUGCGGCAGACGGAAGGAACGGACGGGUAGCCGGCGAUGGGACGCAGCGGGCGGUCGAAGGCGUGGCACGCGCCGCAGUUGACGAGGCGGGCCACGAGGAAGUUGGCGCCGUGGAAGGCGACGUCGAAGGCCUUGCAGAGGAACGCGUCGUCAGGCUCGCACUAGAGGGAGGCGGCGGCGGCGACGGAGGGUGGGUUAUCUUCGAUUCGGAGGGGUCACACGAGAAGACAUCGGGUCACGUACACACGUCGUUAUUGGUUAUAAAUUUUUAAAACAUGUUAAAGCAGAAUAAUUUUUUUUUCGUAUUAAAAUGGUUCAUCAUCAAAAUACCAAUUUGAUAUCAAAAUACUAAUAUCAACCAGAACAAUAUAAAUAGUAGAGUAAUAAAUCAAUCACACGAUGAGACCAAAUCUUUUAACGUGAAAAACCCAAUGUGAAAAAAAUUAUGGGACCGUAGUCCACCUCAAACUUCCACUAUGAUAACAGGUUUACAGUAAAUCUUCUCUAGAAUAACCAAAGGAUCAUAAUAACAUCAAGAACAUAGAUCUUAGUUCAAGAAUAACAUAUCAUCAUCACAUACGAUGGAUCUAAGAAUUCUAGAUCUCACAAAGUGGGUAUAACAGAAAAAUACAUCAGAGAGAGUAAACUGCAGAUCAACACUUUUAUGAUUGUAGAGCUUCCUGCAAGGAUUCUCUGUAUAAAAUUUGAGUCAAAACUGAUAAUGUUUGGCUACUGAUCGUCAAGCAAAAAACUUAAGAUCCUAAUCUUUCUCUCUCCUUACGUCGUCGCUCGUUGCACACAUUCACUAUGCGCUCGCUGCCCUCUCUCUCUCUCUCUCUCUUUGCUACCUUAUAUCUCUUUUACCUUUUAAUUAAUGAUUUGGGCUUUAAAGGCCCAAUUGUCCAAGCCCACAUAUGGGCUAGACCCAACAAUUCUCCCCCUCUAGCUCAUAUGGUGGGUUGUACUAUGCCCGCUCUUUGCCUACAUGCUUCAAACUUCUCUUUAGGCAAAGACUUUGUCAACAUAUCUGAUCCAUUCUCAUUGGUAUGUACUUUUUUCAACUGUAAUUCUUUCAACUUAAGCACAUCAUGAAUCCAGUGAUAUCUCACAUCAGUAUGCUUGAAUCUAGAAUGAUAUGUUGAAUUCGUAGAGAAGUGAAUGACUCUCUGAGUAUCACAGUAAACAGUAUAUCCUUCUUGUUUCAAGCUCAAUUCCUGUAGAAACUUUUUCAUCCAUAAAGCUUUCUUGCAGGCUUCAGUAAAUGUAAUGUAUUCUGCUUCUGUGGUUGAUAGAGCAACAUAAUUCUGUAACUUAGACUGUCAAGAGACUGCUCCCCCUACAAAUGUCAUUAGGAACCUCGAAGUGGACUUCCUGGAAUCAGUAUCACCUGUCAUGUCUACAUCUAUGUAGCCUUCUAACAUAGGUUCAUCAUUAUCAAAAUAUAAACACAACCUAGAAGUACCUCUUAGAUAUCUUAAUAUCCAUUUCACUACUUUCCAAUGUUCCUUUCUAGGAUUAGAGAGAAAUCGACUGACAAUUCCAACUGCAUGAGCUAUAUCUGGCCUAGUACAAACCAUAGCAUAUAUCAAACUGCCUACUGUAUAUGAGUAAGGCACUCUAGACAUUUCUUCUUUUUCUUUCUCACUUGUAGGACAUUGAUUCGAACUAAGCUUGAAAUGACUUACAAGUGGAAAACAAACUGCUUUGACUUUAUUCAUGUUGAAUCUUUUACAAACCUUUUCAAUGUAAGUCUCUUGAGAUAGUCAAAUCUUUCUUUUCUUCCUAUCACAAAGAAUCUUCAUGUCAAGUAUUUGUUUCACCGAUCCCAAGUCUUUCAUGGCAAAAGACUUACUUGGCUCUCUUUUAAGCUUUUCAAUUUUACCAGCAUCAUGACCAACAAUUAGCAUAUCAUCAACAUAUAGCAAGAGAAUAAUGAAAUCAUCAUCUGAAAAUUUCUUAAUAAAUACACAAUGAUCAAAUGUGGUUCUAUCAUACCCUUGGCUCAUCAUAAAGGAAUCAAACUUCUUGUACCACUAUCUAGGUGCCUGUUUGAAUCUAUAUAAGCUCUUCCUAAGCUUACACAUCAUAACUUUGAAACCUUUUGGUUGCUCCAUGUAAAUUUCUUCUUCUAAGUCACCAUGAAGAAAUAUUGUUUUCACAUCAAGUUGCUCAACUUCUAAAUUCAAGUGGGUAGCCAAACCAAGAACAACUCGGAUAGAGGACAUUUUCACCAUAAGAGAAAAUAUUUCUUUGAAGUCAAUACCUUUCUUCUUAUUGAAUCCUUUCACAACUGGUCAUGCCUUGUAUCUUUGUUGUGAGCUAUCAUUUUCAGUCUUUAAUUUGUAAACUCAUUUGUUCUUGAGAGCUUUCUUCUCUUUAGACAAUUUUACCAAGUCAUAGGUGUGGUUCUCAUACAAAGAUAUCAUCUCUUUUUGCAUGGCUUUAACCCACUCAUUCUUAUGCUCAUGUUGAAUAGCUUUUUGGUAAGUUUUUGGCUCUCCCCCGUCAGUAAGCAUAACAUACUCAUGUUGAGGUGCUUGUUCAGUUGGUUCAACAUCAUCAAAUGUAGGAGUAUCAUCUCUGGCAUUCUCACCACAAUCUUCUUGUUCAUCUCCCCCAUGAUCAUCAUGAACUACAGAUGAAGGAACUGAACCCAAACUCCAAGAAAUAUAAACAGAGAUUUUUGGCUUCUUAACAUUAUCACCAUCAUCAAACAAUUGGUAUUCAAGAAAUACAACAUCUUUGCUUCUAAUAAUCUUCUUAUUCACUGGAUCCCAUAAUCUGUAACCAAACUCUUCAUGACAAUAUCUCAAGAAGAUAUAUGCUUUUACCUUAUUAUCAAGCUUGGACCUCUCAUCUUUGGGAAUAUGAACAAAUACUUUACACUCAAAGACUCUCAAGUGAUUAUAAGAUAUAUAUUUUCCUUUCCAUAUUCUCUCUAAAACAUCACCUUUUAGAGGAACUAAUGGAGAAAGAUUUAUGAGAUCAACUGUAGUUCUCAUAACCUCCCCCAAAAUGGCUUUGGUAACUUGGCGUGAGAAAACAUAUACCUAAUCUUUUCUUCAAUAAUUAUAUUCAUCCUUUCUACCACAUCAUUCUGCUGAGGAGUUAUAGGAACUAUUUUCUCAAGGUUGAUACCAUGGAACCUGCAAUAAUUCUUAAAAGGACCCCUGUACUCACCACCAUUAUCUAAUCGAACAUACUUUAGCUUUCUACUAGUUUCUCUUUCAACACUGACAUGAAACUCAUUGAAAACAUUGAAUACAUGGUCUUUAGAUUUCAAAGUAAAAGCUCAUACUUUUCUAGAAUAGUCAUCAGUAAAAGUAAUAAAAUAAAGAGCAUCUCCAAGAGUUCUAGUUUGCAUAGUACAAAUAUCAAUAUGAACUAAAUCAAUAACAUCUGAUCUUCUAGAUGAUGGAUAUAUAUGAAAUGCAACUCUGUGUGUUUUUCCAGCUAAACAAUGAGAUUUAAGAGAUAUACCUUGCAACUUUGGUAAGAAUUGCUCUCUAGCAAGAGUUUGAAGUCCCUUCUCGCUGAUAUGACCAAGCCUAUUGUGCCAAAGAUCUAUACUUUCACCCUUCUGAAUUACAUUAAUCUCUCCUUUUUGUAGCUUAGCUUCUAUGACAUAAAAAGAGUUAAGCUUCUUUCCUCUUUGCCAUAAUUAAAGAACCUUUGGUGAGUUUCCAUUUGCUUUCACUAAAAUAAUGUGCAAAGCCCUCAUCAUCAAGUCUGCCUAUAGAUAUUAAGUUAAGAUGAAUAUCUGGAAUAUGCCUUAUAUCUUUGAGUAUCAAUUUGCUCCCAAUACUGGCCUCCAAGCAAAUAUCUCCAAUAUCUAUAAUCUUAGAUGUACCACUGUUUCCCGUUCUGACAUUACCAAAAUCACCAGCGGUGUAAGAUAUGAAGAAAUCAACAUGAGAAGUGACAUGAAAUGAAACAUCGGAGUCAAUUACCCAGUUACUGUCCUGAGCUACGAGACUGACACAAUCGUCAUCACAAACAAUAGUGAUAUUACCUUCAGUAGCAACUGUAUUGGUCUCUUUCUCAUUUUUCUUCGUUUCAUUCUGUUCUCACUUCCAAAACCUAUACUCUUUCUUCAUGUGACCUAGUCUGUUACAGUGGAAACAUUUGAUAUCUCUUCUAGACUUGGAUCUUUCUCUAUAACCAUGUAGAUUUCUAUUAUGACUUUUUUCACGUCUUUCUUAUUUUUUAGUAACAAAUGCAAUAGAAGAAGAUUCACCAUGUUCUUUCCUUCUAGCAUCUUCAUUUAGCAAACUGUCUUUAACCAUAUCUAUAGUUAGAGUCCCCUCUAGCGUGGAGUUACAAAUUGUCACUACAAACGUUUCCCAACUUUCUGAUAAAGAGCUUAGAAGUAAUAAUCAUUAUAUUUCAUCAUCUAUAUUCAUUUUCAUAGUAACCAGCUUAUUUGUAAGACUCUAAAAUAGGCUUAUAUGCUCAACAAUAUUACCACCAUCUUUAUACUUCAAAUUUAUAAGCGUAGAGAAAUUUUAUUUCCCAUUGUCUUUUUUGCAAAGAGAUUUUCUAAUCUUUGCCAAACAACAUCAGCUCUGGUUUCAUCAGAAAUAUGCUCAUGCAAAUUUAUAUACAUCCAUCUUCUAAUAUAGGCAAUAACUUUUCUAUAUUGAACUUCCCAUUCUUCAUCGUCCAUAGUAGAAGGUUUAUCUUUAAUCUUGAUAGGCUUAUACAAAUCUUUAUAAUAAAGUAGAUCUUCCAUCAUAUGCCUCCAAGUGGAAUAGUUUGAUGAGUUCAAUUUAAUCAUACCAUCUGACUGCUUCAUUUCAAUCACACGAGUAAAAAUUAGCAUCAAAUAACCUAUUGCUCUGAUACCACUUAUUAGGAAAAACUUGUUAAAGUGAAAUAAUUAUUUUCCCUCUUUGUAUAUCAAAAUGGGUUCCUCAUCGAAAUACCAACAUGAUAUCAAAAUGCUAAUAUCAACAAAAAAAAUAGUAGAGCAAUAAAUCAAUAACAUAGUGAGACUAAAUCUUUUAACGUGAAAAAUCCAAUGCGAGAAAAACUAUGGGACCGUAGUCCACCUCAAACUUUUACUAUUUAUACUAAUAAUAACAGGUUUACAGUAAAUCUUCUCUAAAAUAACCAAAGAUCAUAAUAACAUCAAGAAUAUAGAUUUUGGCUUAAGAAUAGGAUAAGAUGGAUCUGAGAAUUCUAGGUCUCACAAAUUAAGUAUAACAGAAAAAUACCUCAAAGAGUAAACUGCAUAUCAACACUGUUAGAAUUAUAGAGUUUACUAUAAGGAUUUUCUGUAUAAAAUUUAGGUUAAAACUGACAAAUCACUGACCGUCAGAAAACUCAAAAAAACUGUGGCUCGCUGCUCUCUCUCUCACCCUUUGUCGAGCUAUAUCUCUUUUGCAUUUUAAUUAAUGAUUUGAAAUAUAUCUAUUUUUCAUUUUAAUUAAUGAUUUGCACUUAAAGGUCCAAUUGUCCAAGCUGGACCCAACAAAUUGAACCAAGGAUGAUCGAGUAUAUGGUUCACAACAUCAAUUUGUCGAUCAAAGAAUGAGUCAUGAAAGAGAAACACAACUUUGAUAAGAAAAAUAAGAUUUCAAGACGAAGAACGGGUACACCCUCCGUUAAAUUUCAGUGGAGUAUGUUGCUGCAUGAAGAAUUACAUUAAAUAUGCAGCAUAUUCUAUCUUUUCUCUCUCUACCUCAGUUCAACUGAUAUUUAAUCUUUUUCUGUUUCGACAGACCAAUCGAUAAUUGAUUCCUCGAGCUCUUCUUUUCCUUUUUCCUGCACAUUUAUAAUCUCUUCAAGCUCUUCUUCCUUGCAUCUGUCUUCCUCUUAUCCGUCUGCACUUUUGCAGCGACUAUGCCUUCCUUCUUUGGAAUUGCGUGCGCUCCAGCAGCUCCUUCCGCAGGAGGGGGAAGGACAUUCUGAUCUUGACCCUUCGGUCCUGGAAUCUUGGAAGGUGGAGUUGAUGGCGCGGAAAGCAGAGGCAUUUUACCACCGGAAACCAUGUUCGACUGAUCCACAUUCAGAGCCGUCGUGGAUUCGGAGAUGCCUGCCUGGCACUUGGGUUUAGGUUUAAGUGCAUGAAUUACCGUGUACAACCUGCAUUGAUGAUCAUGUAAGGAGCCCAUUUUCUCUCGAGGCAAAAGGAGAUCAUACUCGUACAUAUUUGUCUACCACAUUGCGGAUGCAAAAGAUAAUUUUGAAUUGCAGCCGAGGUGCCCACUCAAUUAGUAGACAAAGCAUAGGGGAGAGUGGGAACGAAAAAGAACUUUACCUUGCAUGCCUUGCAUACUCGUCAUAAUUUUCAAGAAGCAUCUUGCCUGCCUGUUCAUUCAGGGCAGACUCAGGGAAUGGCUCUAUCAGCAGGCACCUGAUAACCUGUCAUGCAAAAUUAACAGGCAAUGAACUUGAUUAGCCCGAGAGAACUUUUUCUUUUUGUUGCCUCUUCAAGAAUUCAUUAAAUGAUCAUUUCAUAUUAGCACAAGACCAUAAGAGGUACCCCGAUUAAAAAAAAAGAUGUCAUCGGUGACGAUGAUACCUAGUUGCUCAUGGAAAACGAAAAACAACAACAAGGUCUUAACCCAGUAGGUUAGUGCCAUGAUAAUGCGCUCAAGAGUGUGAAGGAAAAAAAAGACAAGAAUCGUUGGUUGUCAUGACCCCUAAAAGAUACUGGCCUAUGAGUUGGCGUUUUACGUAGGUGGAAACAUUUGAACUUACAAGUAGAACAUGUCUUAGUCCAAGACUCGGAUUCCAAUCCUUCUUCAGUGUGUUGACACAGAUUUCUCCAUUCGUUGCAAUAUUUGGAUGAAAUAUUUUGGUCAGGAAGUAACCUGUGGAAAACAGAAGAAUGUUAAUACUUAGCAAGUAUUCAACCCGAACCAAGUAUUUUUGGAGAUGGAAGAAAGAAGAAAAAGACACUGCAGCUUAGUCUUUAGUGGAUUACCCUUCGGUGGCAACUGAGGAAAGUCAUGAGAUAAUAACAGCUUCAUGCGGAAUACACCAUUCUCAUACGGUGUUCCAGCUGCAAAAAAUAUGUAGCAUAAACUUGUCAAGAAUUAGAUGCAUUGUUCAAGUGAAAUAACACUGUAUUUUCACAAUCACCUACCAGGACCCUCAAUAUCAGCAAAAAUAGUAGAAAAGUCAUCAUCAUUUAGGACCACUUUUAUUCCUUCUGGAGGUGUUUCAUCUAGGUUCUUCAGUUCCUUUGCUAGUUGUUUGAUAACAUUUGGUGGAAGAUUCUCAUUUGUUGCCUGCUCACAGUAACAAACAUGCAAGCAGCAGUGACUUCAUCACAAGAACGUAUUAACAAAAAAAAUAGUCUCGAAAAUUUAAAACUGAAACUGUAUUUACCAUUGUUGGAGAAGAAGCCUUCACAGUCAAAACUAUGUAGGGAUCCUUUUUUUCCUCACUUCGAAGUAUACUAGCACCCAGUUUAUUCUUUAUCCAGGCAGUGUUUGUGACUUCAACUCAGAUGCAGUUCCAGAAUUAUAUUAUGACCAAAAUAUUCAAAUUUGCGAAAGACAAACCUGCAGAAACACUCUAUAAGCAUUAACUUGACUACUCUUAUGAACAUACAGAGAUUAUUCUUCUUAUGAUACAGCAGGCAUUUAGCAGGAAAUGAUGUAUGGUCUUGAGCUGCAGCAGUUUUUCAUAACAACUUACGAUCAAAAUUAAAUGGCAAAAAAACACUCUUCACAUUGUUUCUUGCUAGACAUAAAUCCAACUAAUUUUAUAAGAGCCACAAACUGAAAUUCUUCCAGAAAACAUCCACAGCUUCUGAUACUAGAUACUAUUUAGACUACCAGUACUAGCAAGAUUUUUUGUACACUCAUCAAAUUGGGCUAUGUUGCAGAACCCUUAAUUUCAACAAACAAGAAUGCAAGACCAAUCCAUUCUCUUAUUUAUGUGGAAGAGCUAUAAAAUUAUAAAACUCAUUCUCUAUAUGUCAUACUGCUGCCUUGACUUCUCAAUGAAACAUCAGAGACACAAUGUUGCAGGAAGCAACAACAUUGUCUAUGCAAAUUUACAGUAUCCAACAGUUCUUCUGGAAAUUAUCAUUUUUAGCGGUUCUGAAAGUACCAGUAUUUCUUUUCCAAAGAAUGCUUUCAACUGAAUCUGUGAUAACCAACAUCAAACUGACUACUCAAUCUCGAACCACGAGAUUACCAGAGCUCACCCCAUAUUCCAAAGUAAUUAACAGCCAAAUCUUUGUAUAACAAAAAGGGUCAAAAUGUCCUAAAUUUUAAAACACAGUAUGAGCCCCAAUUUCCGAUGAGGUCUACCAAGUGCAUUUUCAUGACUAGCGCGAGAAAAUCAUGAUCCUCCGAAGCACAAGAGAAAAGAAAAUAUGUACCCACAAAGGAACCUUCUAUUAGAAAGUUGAAUGCUUAUGCCUUCAAGUGCUUCAAACUUGAGAAAAUAUCUCAACAAUUAGUUAAAUGAAAGAUUCAGCAAUAACUAGCAAAUCAAGAUUUAAUGCUAACUGGUCUACGUUUUACUAUAGUUUCUUUAACAAGCACAAAACUUCUUUGCAAUUUCCAAACAGAUAUAAGGGCAUUUACCAUUAGCCUCCUUCACAGACACUUUACUUGAUCAAAUAAAUGAUUAAGCCAGUCAUCUCAUCGAAAAUCUUUCCCUCCCAAGAACAGCAUUCCACGUUUUCCUACGGUCUUCAAACCCUUUACUGCGAAAUACAACAAUCCAGAUACUACUUGGGAGUCUGAAUAGCCUAACUAAAAAAAGCCCUAAUUUGCUGUGAGAUCCAUCUCUCUGAACUACCCCAGUUUAAGACAAGCAAUCCAAAGACAAGCGCCUAACUUGCUCGUAAUACAAGAAACAAAAACCAUAAAUCGAGGAAGGUAUCGCCCUGAAUCACAAAGAACCAAAAAGAAACCCAAAUCCUAACGAGCAUCGCACCUUCCACGUACGCAUCACAAUAAGAACCGCAAGAUUGUCGCUUUGGUCACUGAAAAGGGGAAAAAAUCCAUCAAGAAAGCUUUCUUUUUGGGGCGAACCGACAACAAGAAUGCACAUAUCGUUCUUCAAAUCGCACAUGAAAGGGUAGAGACAUGAUGGAGAGUCAGACUCAGAAUGCUUAGAGUAACAAUUAGAGGAGAAGGAGACGAGAUCGCUCACCCGAGGGGAUCGAAGUUGGCGUUUCUUGAGACCAUGAAUGCUCAAGAUCCCGAAUCGAAAGACGUUUGGAUGAGGUAAUACGUGGCCCCAUCGCUGGUGGCACAUUUAUUCGGUGUGGAUGUGUCGGCGUCGGACAUCGGAUCUGAUGUCCUCCUCUACGACAAUACUACCCCUUACUCUUACCAAUAUACUACCCCUACUCUUACAAAUAUUCUUUCUAUUGACUAUAAUACCCUUAUUUUGCGAUGUGAUCGCACGUAGAUAGCAGUGAAAGGUCGAUAAAUUUAAAGAAUAAGGGUGGUUUGUUCGGCAUAGAAAUCGAUUGACGAGAAUAACCUUCCCGAUGGACCGUUGGGGCGCGUUCUUGGCUAGCCGUUUACAAUUUUCUUUUCUGGAUUUGGAAAUUUUUCGUGAUGCUGUUUGACUUCGGACUAGUCAACGUGUAGUUUCAAACUGCCAUAAAUAGGAAUUUGUUCAAUUUUUUUUCCGACUUACUAUUUUUUGUUUGUAAUACUUAACCAAGUGUGAGUUGUUCAUCAUCUAAUAAUCCCUGUAUUUUUUUUUUUCCUCUUCAACCAAGUGAUAAUAAAAAAUAUGACAAUAGUCUCUACUAACCAAGACAAUCAUACAUCUUAUUUUUAUCAUUUUUUAUUCAAAAAAUUAUUUUCUAAGGUAAUUAGAGUAUCUAUUAAAAAUUGACCAUUAGAAAGGUUUCAUCGGUUAUGUUUUUGAUACAAAAUUUUAUAUAUAUAUAUUGAUGAUGAGAUUCGCUAAGUAGGAGUUUUCACAUCAAGAUUUACACUGCAAAUUUAAAUUUUAAGCGAGAUAAUAUUUAGAAAAUAAUUAGUUUUAUAAAAAAAAAUUAUUUUUUUACUUUAUUCUCUUUUCAUUUAUUUUCGUAAAGUAUUUUUUAUUUUUUUAAAAUAUAAAAUUAUUUUUUUAUCCAAUCGUUAUCAUCUCCACCCGUCACAUUAGGGGGUCGAUGUGGUCGUCUCGAGAAUAAAAUAAAAUAAAAAGUAUUUUAUAAAAAAUAUAAAGAUUUUUUUUUUAAAUUUGUCUUGAAAAAAAGGAUAUCAUAUUAGAUAAUAAAAUUAAAGUGCCACAUCCCACUCACUCCCAAUGUGAUGGUCUCUUUAUCAUCGUCCUAUGACCGUGACACCAACCCAUUGCCCUCCCCAUCUCACGCCCUUUUGGCACGGCCGUCGGCGAUGGCUUACGAGGCGCCAUGCAAAGCUUGCAGGCAAAUCUUAAAAUUUUAAUUGAAUCAUAUCGCCCAUGUCAAGAUCACGCAGCCAUUGAUGACUCACUUUGGAUCCACCCUCGCUUGGUAUCAUUUUGAUUACCGAGUACGCAACAUUUUAUGAUGGCACCGUCAUCACGUUAGCAAUUAAUUGAUAGGACACUGUCACAUAUAAUAAUAAUAAUAAUAAUAUGUUGCAAAGAUGCUUCACGUCUGGAGUUGGUAAUUAGCUGAAGUUGAUAGGACACUGUCUUCACACAAGCAGAACUUGCAAUGUCAUAUGCGUGUCUCGCUCAUCUUUCUCUAUUUUAGCUGAAUGGUAUGGUGUUCGGUCAACCUUCAAGGAGCAACAAGUGUGGGAAGUCUCCCAGGAAAGCAAAAGAAGACAUCUUUACAACCAGCACCUCGUUGGCCUCGUGAAUCCAGCUUCGUCUUCCGACGACGAAGCUUUUGGACGAGGGAGAGAUGACUCGGGCCUGUGAGCACAAGUAUUUUGAUCAGAAUAUUGAUGAUGUUUCUUGUAUGAUUAUACGCGCAUGUACGUGUAUAUAGACACCCAAGGGGACAGGCGUCAUCAUCCCUGCGGAUGUACCAUGCAUGCGUUGGAAGCUCGCUCCUGUAAUAAUGGCCGCGGUGGGGAGGAGGAGGAGGAGGAGGCAGCGUGUGAUGCUCGUGUCCGAGUGUCAUAUUCUGAGGACGCAUCACUUUGGGUCCCAACUCCGCUGGAUCCUAUGUCGCAAAGGUUGGACGUCGACAAGGCUCUUUCGGUAAGAAAUCGACAUGCUAUUUCUUAUCGCCUUCCGCUCCUUUUGCCUUUUUGACUUCUUUCCCUUCCUUCACGGUAAAACAUUCUCCCUAGUAAUGUCAUGUCACUCCGGUGAAGAACGGUGCGUUUGCUUUGCACUAUAUAAAGUGAAGCAAACGAAGCGGACUUGCUCCGGUAAAGAACCGAGGUUUGUGAGAUCUUUUCGCUUGCUGCCGCUGCCGCUGCCGCUGCCGACGAGGUACGGCCUCCAUCUUUCUCCUCCCGCAUGAUAUAUAUAUCAUCGACGCCUGCUACUCCUCUGUUGUACUGCGUAUGUGGCCGAUCUAUAUUUCCAUGAUUUAAAAGUAGAUAAAUGUUGUUAUUUGGGUUCUCAAAGCGCAUAUUAUAGUGGGAUGCUGUCAUGUUUAUUUCCAUCAUUAAAUGUAUCAUAUAAAAUGCAUUAUGCAACAGGAUACAGUUUUUCUAUUUUAACUUUUUUUACAUAUAUUUCAAAAAAAAAUAUUUUUUAAGCUGCACUUUUAGAAUUCAGAAAAAUUACUUAUAAGAUCGUACAAAAAUAAACUUCUUGGAGGCAAUAUUUUCUUAUCCUAUAAUAACCCAUUUGAGUCUUUUAAAAUAAAUUAUCAAAAUCAAAUAAUCUAUGCACUUUUAGAUUAAUCAAAAUAACAUGAUCCAUGCAUCAGACCCUCUUUCCAAAGGUUGAUGUAUCAAAUCGUCUUUGAGAGUUUAAAACCUCAAUUAAUAUAUUUCAGUAGUAGGUAUUAGUUAAUUAGUAAAGGCCAUAAUAGUUUAUCGCAAGGUCCUAGGAUCAAUUCUCGUCUUCGUCACUUAUCAUUUAUUAAAAAAAAUAUGAGUAAUUUUUUUAAAAAAAUAUAUCUUCUUAUUUAAUGUCCUCAUUUUUAGUUUCCUUAUUUAGCUCUCAUUUUUCUUUGAUAUCCUAAAUGCCCUUUGAAAUCAUUUGUUGUUUCGACCUCAUAUAGACGUUUUUCCUUAUUAUAAUCACUUUAGUCUCAUCUCAAUAAAGAGAUCAUUGCAGAGGAGCGAUGGCAUGUCGCUCUCAUUGAGAAUUAUCUUUUUGUUGUAAUUAUUAUCAAGGGUGAAAGAAAUGAGAGCCUAAGCGGCAUGAGCCCUGUGAGGGAUCGAAUGAUAGUGGCGUAGUUUUAGACCUAAUUAGCAAUGAUGUGGUCAAUGAUAGUGGUGAAGCUUUAUACCUAAUUAGCAACGAUGUGGUCAAUGAUAGUGGUGAAGCUUUAUACCUAAUUAGCAAUAAUGUUGUCAAUGCUAACAAUCGGACGGGGCCAAUUGUGAUAAUGCAUAGGAAAAAACGAUCAUGGUAGUAAAACAUGGGCAAGAGCACGCUUAAGGGUGUUAGUGGUUGACGCUAAAACAUAAUGUUAAAAUCAAUCAUAAGAGACACGAAGACGAUAAAAUCUCGAAAUGAAGGUGGUGAGGUGUAGAUGACCGUGAUAGUUAAAAAAGUAAUAGAGCAAAGAUAAUCAUGGAAGUACGAAACGAAAGAAUAAAGGUAAUCCAUUAACGAUAAGAAUAGACAUUUAAAAUAUUAGAAGUAAUGAGGCUACCAAAUAAGAAAUUUAAAAAUAGGGGCAGGAAAAAAAAAAAGAUAAGUCACCUAAAUAACAUCAAAUUUAUUUUUUCAAUAAAUUAAAUUUAGAGAUUGGAAUUAAAUUAAACAAAUGUAAUGUGGCGAGUCCAUCACUAACCGCUCUAACCGGUUGAUCGGCAUCACCUAAAGUACAUAAUGUGCUCCUCUGUUGGUCGGCAGGCUUGACGAAGCAGAGGUUGGGGACGCCGAAGCAGUCUCCACCUCACUCUCCUCAACUUCUCCGGCCAGUCACCGGCAUCGAGGCAGUGGAAGCCAAGAAAAGAUACAUAUCCACGUAAAAUAAACAACAGAGAAAAGGAAGCGAGGAAGCGGCCGGAAAUCCCCUUCGGUGCUUCUACUAGUGGCUGACGGUAUCCGACAUGACAAGUAUAAAGACAAAGCCUCCACUUCCCUACUGCUUUUCUGCUCGCUUCUUGUUCUUGAGAUCUCUCUCUCACUUGAGACCCUCGCUUCUUUGUCUGUUGACAGCCCGGCGUCAUCUAUCCGGCGGCAGCAUGACCCCCUCGCCCACCCCGCACGUCCGGCAGCGGGACGAGGAGCGCGGCAGCGCCGAUGACGGCAGCGGCUCGCCCGGCGAUUGGUUCGACAUCCCUCCCAAGAACGCGCCGGUGGAGCGCCUCAGGCGGUGGAGGGUACGCUUCUCUCGCCCUACAGCCCGCGUUCUCGAUGGUCCUUUUAAGUCUCCGUGCUGCCGCACGGAGUUGGCACGCCAUGACUAGGAGAGCUUCAAGAUUGUUAGUUCGUAAAUGCUAUGAGAAAUUAUUGAAAUGGGGAUAUCAGCAGCCAAGAAAGUACAUAGAAAGAAAUGGCAGAUUUGUUGUGCAUGAAUUGAGGUGAAAAGAAAUCCCUGGUUUUCCAAUUUUCUAUAUGUCUUAACAAUCUAAGAAUCCAAGUGCAUUAUCAGGUAGGCACCUUGAAAGUUUAGAGGUUGGAAGGAGCAACCAAGGGAAAUGACAGCUAAAACUUAAAGACACCCUUGAAUGAAAAGGUGAAACAACCAAAUGAUAAAUUAGACAAGAUGUAUAAGUAUUCCUUAUCUGAUAUUAAUUCUUUAAGCAAUUUGGUACCCAUAAUCGUUGAAACCCAAGCAAUUUGGUCUUCAACCUAUAUAACUUAUAAUGUUGAUGUUGUUCAGUAGUUCUAACACAUAAACAUGGACUUAAAUAGCAUACAAUGACUGCUAUUUACCAUUCUACCCUGUACUGUUAUGUGAUCAACUGAUCGUACCAAGUAAUACAAACACUUUUGUUUCUUUUUUUGUAUACUUUUCUUAGCAGCACCAUGGUAUGGCAUAAUGUAUUGAUCUCUGACAGUGGCCUGAUACUGGACUAGUAUAUGAUACAGAACAGUUUUUAGAUUUGCACACAAGCACCCUAAUUAAUCUACAUAUUAAACUAUUAUGUGAAGUGAACGCUUACUGCAGUUAUAGAUAUUGUUGAAGAAAACUUUACUGUAGAUUCUUUUUUGUGUGUGCUACCAUAAUGCUGUGAUUAUGUAUAACUUGUUCCUUUAACUGAUUGUGGUUUUGAUUUUAUUUUGAUUUUAACAGCAAGCAGCACUAGUGCUGAACGCUUCUCGUAGGUUUAGAUAUACGUUGGACUUGAAGAAGGAAGAAGAAAAGGAGCAGACGAGGAGUAGGAUCCGCGCACAUGCUCAAGUCAUUCGGGUAUAGCUUUGGCUGUAUUUAGGCUUAGUUCUUGCAUAAAUAAGCUUUUCCCAUAUGCUAAUUGACUUUUGACUUCUCAGGCAGCACUUCUGUUUAAAGCAGCAGUGGAGAGGGCGAAACCAGGUACUUUUGCCGCAAUCCGUUUGUAACAUCUUUGCUUUACAACCAGUUAAAAGAUAGUAUGUGGUUUACAUGGAUUUUCCUUGACUAUAGUAUUGUUCCGAUUAUCAAUUUGUGCUUCAGAAAAAAAACACACUCUUGAAUGUAUGCCUUUGACUAUGUUUCUUUUACCUCAAAUUUAUCAGGGAAUCUCUUCUUUUUUGUCCAUGAAUUUUGCUAGUUCUGGUUGUUAGUUUUUGUAUCUGAUACAUUGGAAUUUGGAUUUUCCAAGUUUCUGAUCAUUUUUUAUAUUUUAAAUUUAUAUUUAGUUUUUUCAUCUAUUUUUCGAAGUGUUCUCAUUUCUGCUAAUCAGAUAUCCUUUUUUCAUCUAUAAUACAGGUACUCCCACUAUACCAGUACUUCCUUCUUGUGGUUUUGGAAUUGGAGAGGAACAGCUUACUAAAAUGACGAGGGAUCAUGAUUUCUCUGCUCUACAAAAUUAUGGGGAGGUAGGUAAACCUUUUGAAUUGUUUUUUGUUGAUGUGUACCUUUUUCUUCGAUAAUUCAUCAUUUGGCUAUUGCUUUAGGUCAAAGGUAUCUCCAAUUUGCUAAACACAGAUUUAGAUAGAGGAAUAAGUGCAGAUGAUGUUGACAUAUUGCAUAGGAGGAACUUGUUUGGGGCAAACACUUAUCCUCAAAAAAAAGGAAGGAGUUUUUGGGUAAGUUGUGUUCUGAUCAAUCAACUGAUUGCAUGAGUCUUCCAAGCCUUUGUAUUUAUUUCUAUAUUUACCUUUUUCCUUUAGGUUUUCCUUUGGGAAGCUUGCCAAGACUUAACUCUUGUCAUGCUUAUGGUAGCAGCGGUAUUAUCAUUGGUCCUGGGUAUAAAGACAGAGGUAAGAUUGACUUUGUCAUAUGCUGUGCUGGUAGUUUGGAGGUUUCCCCUAAGUUUUCAUCCACUAAUAUAGUAUCUGAAUAAAGCCUUUUUUUGCAUACUUCUUUCCUCGGUUAUUUUUGUUACAAUUUUUUGCUGCUAUGGUAUGGCACCAUGAACUGUAAUAUAGCCUGGUCUAAAUUCACUCAAGUACCAACUUCAGCAGGAAGAUAUAAACUCUAGAUAUUAGGUGUCAAUCUAAAGAUAUAUUCAUUAGUUG
rnacentral:lncRNA from 1 species